UACGUAGGGUGCAAGCGUUAAUCGGAAUACUGGGCGUAAAGCGUGCGCAGGCGGUUUUGUAAGUUUGUCGUGAAAGCCCCGGGCUCAACCUGGGAAUUGCGAUGAAGACUGCAAGGCUUGAAUCUGGCAGAGGGGGGUAGAAUUCCACGUGUAGCAGUGAAAUGCGUAGAGAUGUGGAGGAACACCGAUGGCGAAGGCAGCCCCCUGGGUCAAGAUUGACGCUCAUGCACGAAAGCGUGGGGAGCAAACAGG
rnacentral:rRNA from 1 species